rnacentral:lncRNA from 1 species
CCUCUAUUUCCUCCCUCCAUGGAGUGAAUAACUCCCUCCAGGGAAAGCGGUUUCAGGCAUGAACCAUGGACCACAGAGAAGCCACUGGAGCCUGGGGAGAAGCCACCAGGCCACUUGGAAGAAGGCAAGUGGUCCCCAGGUUACCUCUCAUCAGGCCCGGGACAGCCCUGCCCCGCUUCUUCAGCUCCCCGAAGCAGCCGUCGCAGACCUUGGCCAUCCUGUCCUUCAGCAACAGAAUUGGCUGAGUAAUGUGGAAUGUGGCCAGGAGACCAGCCAGAUGCAGAGCCCAGUGAGCCCUGCCCUGCGUCUCUGUGCAGGGUGUGUGAUGUGUGGCUUCCCAGACAGUCAUCCGACAGGCACUUUCCAAGUUCCUGCUCUGCACCAGGGAGGGCUUCCUGAGCUGGGUGCCAGCUAGCUGGGUGAAGUUCUCACAGUGUCCACUAGAUGCCGCGCCUA